AGUGUGGCCUAGUUGGUAAGGCGCCUGGUUUGGGACCAGGAGAUCCUGGGUUCGAGUCCCAGCA
rnacentral:tRNA from 1 species